AUUGCCACUCAGUCUUACAGUGCCAUUGCUGUUGCAUCUGUGUCUGUCUGUGGCAAACAGCAAAGGGCUCUAACUACGCUCAGUUCCCAGAAUACAGUGGGGGGCUCAGAAUGACUUGUAGCCCUAUAGG
ensembl:snoRNA small nucleolar RNA SNORA17